GGCAUUAGGGCUUUAGUGGGGACAGACAGGACAGCCAGGCAUUAGGGCUUUAGUGGGGACAGACAGGACAGCCAGGCCAAGGCAUUAGGGCUUUAGUGGGGACAGACAGGCCAGGCAGGCCAGGGCAUUAGUGGAAAGUGGGGACAGACAGGACAGCCAGGCCAUUAGGGAUUUAGUGGGGACAGACAGGCCAGGGCAUUAGUGGAAAGUGGGGACAGUCGGGACAGCCAGGCCAUUAGGGAUUUAGUGGGGACAGACAGGCCAGGCAGGCCAGGGCAUUAGUGGAAAGUGGGGACAGUCAGGACAGCCAGGCCAUUAGGGAUUUAGUGGGGACAGCCAGGACAGGCAGGAAAACCUGUUUGGGAUAGGGGGCAGC
ensembl:lncRNA